UUUUAUACCUUAGGUUCUUUUCUUCGAUUUACGACAAUUCUUUCCUUGAAUAGAAAAUUGAAAUACUCCAAUAUUAAGGCAUGGCAUCAAGCUCUCUUAAAUCAUCAUGGACGUCCCACCAAAACAAGCUCUUCGAAAAGGCGUUGGCGCAAUUCGAUAGGGACACACCCGACCGGUGGCAGAACAUUGCUAGGGCUGUAGGCGGUGGAAAAACGGUGGAGGAAGUCAAGAAACACUAUGAGGUCCUUCUUGAGGAUCUCCAGCGUAUAGAAUCCGGUUGUGUCCCAAUACCCAACUACAUGAAAAAUGGAAGCAAUGGCUCUGCUGAUCAAGAACGAAGGCUUCUCAAGUAUAACUAGAUGCAACGAACUCCAAUCUAAGCACUUUGUAUUGUGUUAUAUUUCUUGGUGUAUGGGUCGGGAUCAACGUGCAAAUUAAUGCAGUCAGGCUUGGGCCUUGUAGGCGGCCCAUACUGAUAGAACCCGCCAAAGAACCACAACUUGUUUCACUAAUCAAGGGUUGUGAUCAGGUGCUCACAGCCCAUCAAAUGGAUCAAUUCCUUUUCAGUUUCUGCCAAUCAAAUUACGCCAUGGGAAAUCUGU